rnacentral:pre_miRNA from 1 species
UUCUUAUUGAAUGAUGACUGUCACGUGUCAUAUUCUGAUUAAAUGUCAACUUCAUGGAAGAUGAAAUACAUUGUUGUUGUCAUUAGCUAAUAAAAAAAAUGAAAUGUGAUAGUUAUGAUCCAAUAAGAACGUGACACGUGACAACCAACAUUC